rnacentral:rRNA from 1 species
UACAGAGGUCCCAAGCGUUGUUCGGAUUCACUGGGCGUAAAGGGUGCGCAGGUGGGUUGGCAAGUUUGAUGUGAAAGCCCCGGGCUUAACCCGGGAAUGGCAUUGAAUACUGUUGAUCUGGAGGGUCGGAGGGGGGACUGGAAUUCUUGGUGUAGCAGUGAAAUGCGUAGAUAUCAAGAGGAACACCAGUGGCGAAGGCGAGUCCCUGGACGAUACCUGACACUGAGGCACGAAAGCCAAGGGAGCAAACAGG